rnacentral:rRNA from 1 species
UACGUAGGGUGCGAGCGUUAAUCGGAAUUACUGGGCGUAAAGCGUGCGCAGGCGGUUCGCUGUGUCCGAUGUGAAAGCCCCGGGCUUAACCUGGGAAUGGCAUUGGAAACGGGCGGGCUUGAGUGCGGCAGAGGGGGGUGGAAUUCCGCGUGUAGCAGUGAAAUGCGUAGAGAUGCGGAGGAACACCGAUGGCGAAGGCAGCCCCCUGGGUCGACACUGACGCUCAGGCACGAAAGCGUGGGGAGCAAACAGG